rnacentral:rRNA from 1 species
UGGUGGAGUGAUUUGUCUGGUUAAUUCCGUUAAUGAACGAGACCUCGACCUGCUAAAUAGUUUGGCGAUCUUCUAGAUCGUACUGACUUCCUAGAGGGACUAUCGGUUCUUAACCGAAGGAAGUUCGAGGCAAUAACA